rnacentral:sRNA from 1 species
GCUGGGUAUAGUGGUUUAUGCCUGUAAUUCCAGUGACUCAAGAGGCUGAGGUAAGAUGAUCACAAGUUUGAGGCCAAUCUUGGCAACUUAGUGAGACCUUGUCUCAA